UACGUAGGGUCCGAGCGUUGUCCGGAUUUACUGGGCGUAAAGGGCGUGCAGGCGGUUUGUUAAGUGCAGGGUGAAAGCUCCCGGCUCAACUGGGAGAGGUCCUUGCAUACUGGCGAACUCGAGGGAGGCAGAGGAAAGUGGAAUUCCCGGUGUAGUGGUGAUAUGCGUAGAUAUCGGGAGGAACACCUGUGGCGAAGGCGGCUUUCUGGGCCUUACCUGACGCUGAGACGCGAAAGCGUGGGGAGCGAACCGG
rnacentral:rRNA from 1 species